rnacentral:rRNA from 1 species
CCUACGGGAGGCAGCAGUGAGGAAUAUUGGACAAUGGGCGCAAGCCUGAUCCAGCCAUGCCGCGUGCAGGAAGACGGUCCUAUGGAUUGUAAACUGCUUUUGUACAGGAAGAAACACUCCCUCGUGAGGGAGCUUGACGGUACUGUAAGAAUAAGGAUCGGCUAACUCCGUGCCAGCAGCCGCGGUAAUACGGAGGAUCCAAGCGUUAUCCGGAAUCAUUGGGUUUAAAGGGUCCGUAGGCGGUUUAAUAAGUCAGUGGUGAAAUCUGGUCGCUCAACGAUCAAACGGCCAUUGAUACUGUUAGACUUGAAUUAUUAGGAAGUAACUAGAAUAUGUAGUGUAGCGGUGAAAUGCUUAGAUAUUACAUGGAAUACCAAUUGCGAAGGCAGGUUACUGCUAAUGGAUUGACGCUGAUGGACGAAAGCGUGGGGAGCGAACAGGAUUAGAUACCCUGGUAGUCCACGCCGUAAACGAUGGAUACUAGCUGUUCGGAGCAAUCUGNGUGNGUAGACGAAGAGAGUAAGUAUCCACCGUCGGGUAGGUACGGUUCGUCGAGAAGUAGAACGUACGAACGGAAGUUAGUACGGCGUGAGACGUUAGCCGACGGACGACGACGAGGGAGGUUAGG